rnacentral:rRNA from 1 species
UACGUAGGUGGCAAGCGUUGUCCGGAUUUACUGGGCGUAAAGAGCGCGCAGGCGGUCGUUCAAGUCGCGUGUGAAAGCCCCCGGCUCAACUGGGGAGGGUCACGCGAUACUGAUCGACUCGAAGGCAGGAGAGGGUAGUGGAAUUCCCGGUGUAGUGGUGAAAUGCGUAGAUAUCGGGAGGAACACCAGUGGCGAAGGCGGCUACCUGGACCGGUUCUGACGCUGAGGCGCGAAAGCGUGGGUAGCAAACAGG